UCCAUGAACCCGGCCGUGUCCUUCGGCCCGGCUGUGGUGAGCUGGACGUGGAAUAGCCACUGGGUGUACUGGCUUGGCCCCUUGGUGGGCGCCGCCAUCGCCGCCCUUGUCUAUGAGCUCCUCUUCAUCAACCAGAGUGGCCAUGACCAGCUCCCAACCACAGAUUACUAACAAAUUUAUUUUCACCACCUCUGUUGUAUUAUCAUGUAUGCUAUCACCAGCCUUGUUUCUAUGGAAUCCAUGAUUCUCAAGUAUCUCAUUCAAUCAUCAUCUCAUAUUCUCAUUAGAUGCUGAAAUUUGGUUUGCAAAAUCAGUUUGAAUGUCUGAUAAAUUAUUUUGCUAAUAAAUUAGAGCAUAGCUCAAAGAAGCAAUACUACCAACAACUUGUUCAGCUCCAACAAUACCAAGAAAAAAACACUAUGCCUACAUUUGAGGCAGCAGAUUAGUGACGAUCUAUUCUCAGCUUCGCUUCUUCUUUUCUUGUUUUCCAAGUUUCGAUCGACGCUGCUUGAAUAAGUGGAGGUAAAGUUUCAAUGAUGUUUGAUCUUUUGUUUUCAAUGAUGUAUACUUUUUGUUGGGGUAAUGGGAUAAACUGCUUGUCAUAUCACUUGCCUUGUUUCUGUGGAAUCAAUUCUCGAGUUUGUUUUUCCUUGAUUGUCAGUAUGUCAGUGUUGCAAGUAUUUAUUCGAUCGUCAUUUCAUUAAAUACUGAAUGUGGUUUGCAAAAUCAGGUUGAAUGUCUGAUCAGUUAUUUUGCUAAUAAAUUAGAGCAUAGCUUAAAGAAGCAAUACUACCAACAACUUGUUCAGCUCCAACAACACCAAAGGAAAAAACACUUAGCCUACAUUUGAGGCAUCAAAUUAGUGACGAUCUGUUCUCAGCUUCGCUUCUUCUUUUCAAUGAUGUAUACUUUUUAUUGGGAGUAAUGGGAUGAAUUGUUAGUGAUUGUAACUGUGUAAUUGCGCGCUAUUUGGAGAGAGAUUGGAUUCGAGUGAAAUAAAUAUUUUUUAAGAAAAUUGUUUCUUCUUGAUGUUUUUACCAGAGGUUUAACUCGUAUUUGAUUUUGCUUCAGAUUAUCACGUGUUAAAUCUACAAUUUAAAAAGAAUGGGGUAUACUAAGUAUACUUCAAGGGAUUUUCUUUAACAUGGUAGUCUGUAAUACUUGAACGUAUUCGCGUAGAGUCCAUGAUUAAAUGUUUUACUAUUUAGAGACGCAUCACUGAUAUGUGAAUUUGUUGAGGAUCUGAAACCGUAGUCAGCUGUAGUUGUUUGAAAUAUCAAUAUCGGUAAGGUUUUGUUAUAUGGAAGAUUUUUGUGCUAUAUGGCAAUUUGCAUUUUUGAUAGAGGACUUGUUUGUAUCUUCUCUGUGGGCAUAGAAGAUUUUGCAUCUUUUCUCCAGCAUAUAUGUUUUUCUUGAGAUUUGAUUUAUGCAUUUUUUUAAAUCGAUUCUGGGACGAUACAAUUUAUCUAAAUAUGUCAUUUAAAUUGUUGUUGGAUGUAUCCUCUCUAUAAUAUGUCAAACUAUGCAUUAGUUGCGUUUAGCUGAAUGCAACUUCUAGGUGGAACAAUGCAGUAUCUGAAGUCUUCUUAAGCACCUUGUACAGUGUGAUUAUGUUGGGGAGACAGGAUUUCAUGCAUGAUGGGUGUAACUUAUAGUGUGGAAUGAUGCAUAGUCAUCUUAAGCAUCAUUUACAUAUUAUGUUUGGUAAUCAUAGACUUAUUUGUAUUCCUACUUAUUCUUACUAUCAUCUCCAAUCAGGUAAGGCAGCUUCACAAGAUGGUGAGAGUAAGUGUUCUGAAUGAUGCUCUGAAGAGCAUGUACAAUGCCGAAAAAAGGGGGAAACGUCAAGUCAUGAUUAGGCCUUCAUCAAAGGUCAUCGUCAAGUUUCUUUUGGUCAUGCAGAAGCAUGGUAUGACAAUUUUUUGUAACAUGAGUCUUCAUUUUGAAUUACUUCCAAUUUGCAUAAAAUUGAACCUUCUGUUUAUGGCAUUUUCAGGAUACAUAGGAGAGUUUGAGUUUGUUGAUGACCACAGGUCUGGAAAGAUCGUAGUUGAAUUGAACGGAAGGCUAAACAAGUGUGGUGUUAUUAGCCCUCGGUUUGAUGUUGGCGUGAAGGAAAUUGAACCUUGGACUGCUAGACUCCUUCCUUCAAGACAGUUUGGUUACAUUGUGUUGACUACAUCUGCUGGUAUCAUGGAUCAUGAAGAAGCUCGGAGGAAAAAUGUUGGAGGUAAAGUACUGGGCUUCUUCUAUUAAGCAGGUGACGGCAUGCCAGUAGCUGUCUAUUGGUAGUGAUUUUAUUGUUGAGGUUGGAACAGCAUAGGUGGAGUAGCUUUCUUUUUGGCUUCAUGAGUGAAACAUUUGAGGAUUGUCUUCUUUAUAAAUUUUAGUGAUUGUUUUAUACUUGUUAUAAAUUGUGAGUUAAUGCCCAAGUUAUAAAAUCACUGGUAGUGUAAUUUGUGCUUCACGUGGCUGUUCUUUCUAUAUUGCACACAAAAAUCUCGUGCAACAUUUCCGCUGAAUUUGAUGGAUAAAUUGCAAUACGACGAAACGAAACGAAAAACGGAUGUACAGCGACGUCAUUUUAACUAUGUGUAAUUUUGAUUUGUUUUGUAUUUUUACAUAGCCUUGUCAGAUUUCAUGUCCCGUGAAAAUUGUCUAGAGUUUAGAUAGUUUGGGCACUUUAUAAACAAGUAAAUCAUUUUGUUUGGAUAUUUUUUAAAUGGGUUUAUUUGAAAAAAAAAAAAAUCAAAUCUGACCCAAAUUUUGUUUCAAAUAUAUUUUUAUCAAUCAUUUAAUUAGUACACGAUUUUUCGAUUUUUAGUGGAACAAAUAUAUUCAAAAUUUUAUAAUGACUAGAAAAAUAACAUUGAAUGAUUAGUUUUCACGCUACUUUAGUUUCUCAGUUAAAUCUCCUACGACCGUGGAAAAAAUCAUGUCUAAGAGCAUUGGCAACGCAGCUCCUCGAGUAAGGCAAUUUCUUCGUGUAUGGCGUUGCAAUGGCUGUUUCCUCGAGCAUUACUCGAGUGCUCGGGUAGCACUCAGCACGCGCCUCAAAUAAAAAAAAUUAUUUUAAUUUCCAAUGGCUUGUUUUUUUUGUUUUUUUUGUUUUUUUUAUUAAAGUUUUAUGUAAUAUUUAGGAUUUUAUAAUUAAUGCAAUUUAAAUUUGAAAUACAUUGUGUUAUUUAAAUUUGAGCAAUUAAAUUUAAAUGAAAAACAUAAAAUCAAAACUAAUAUUAUCAAGUAGGCUAUCAAGGAACCCCAAUGCAGCACUACCUACUCAAUAAUACAACCACUAUCAAGUAGGCUAUCAAGGAACCCCAUUACGGAUGCUCUAAGUCUGUAAAUCAUUUUGAAUUUUUUUAAACGUGUCUAUUUAGAAACAAACUCAAAAGUAAUGUUAUUAUUGAAAUGAUUUAUAAACCAUAGCUAAAAUCACAUUAUUAAUGGUAAUAUACUACAAGCAUAAUGUUUAUUGAGAGAGCGAAAAAAUUAAGGCUGAAAAUAAUGUAGCAUGACGCAUUUAUAUAUUUAUUUAUAUCUAAAUAAGUAAGAGUGAUGGUUUGUUACGAGGACGACAUCACAUCUUUUAAAUAAAACUUCACUAGUUUCCCUCUUAAUUAGUCUUAGCCGCCCAAAUUAUAUAAUUACAAGAUAAGAUAAAGAAUAGGGAAAACUAAUCAUAUAAACCAAGUCCACUAUUCCUACUAGAUAUACUAAUUUCAGAACAACUCAUUAAGAGGUUCCUUUUUACUUUGUUAAAUUAAAAAAUAGAUAAUCAUGCAAUGAAAAGCAUCUUAGUCUAAUCUAGAGGGCAAAAAUGAUUUAAAAACACGUUGGUGUUUGUUGUUUAUCUCAAGGGAGUGGCCAAAGCAUUUGUUAAAAGGAACAAUAUGGCCUUUUUUUCUUUCUUAUCUUUAGUUUCAAAAAUAUAAUAAGUAAGAAAUAAGAAAAAUAAAAAUAAAAAAAGCUUUGUGGUUAUAAUUUGCUUAGAAUUUUUGUUGGAAUUAAAUAAUAAUGUAAAAUAACAAACCAAAACCGACCCCCAAGUCAUGGUGUCACCCUCGGCUUGUUUGUGGGCGGUGUGCUAUGAGAAUUGUUGCUUUUGUUAUGAUCUCCAUCACCAAAAGCUCUAUUUUACCCAUCGUUUAAAUUUUUGGAGGAAUUGUUUUGCUUGAUGCGAAAAGAUCAAAUAAAAUUAAAAUUAAUAACAAAUUAAUUUAUAUUAUUUUUUAUUUGCCUAUUCUUUUUUUAUUUGUAUAUUAAUAACAAAUUAAUUUAUUUGUUUAUUCUAUUGCUCAAAAUAAAUUCCCGAGAAAAAAAGCUUUGAUUCUUCAUUAUCACAAGCGUAUUUAUAAGGUGACAGCGAUGGAUAAUACCACGAAUUUAAAAAUUAAUCGCUAUUCAUUAGUCCAGAUGGUGGGUUUAAAUAUAAACUAUUUUUUCUUUUCCUUUAUUUGCGAUAUAUAAAUCCCCUUGAACAAUCAUUCGUGGACCCUCCCACCUCAUGGUCGGCUAUAAUAUAUUGUGCCAGUUUAAUAUAUAUAUAUAUAUAUGUGUGAAAGGUUUUAUCAAAAUAAAUAAAUUUUUACAAAUAAAUUAAUACUACUCCCUCCCUCCGUCCCAUUACAAAUAUCUGAUUUUCCAUAAUGGGAUGUCCCUUUACAAAUGUCUCAUUCCUUUUUUGGCAAUAUAUUCUCUCCGUACCUAAUAUUUAAAUAAUUUCCACCACACUUUAUCAACUUUCUAUACAUUUCUUAAUCUCUGUGUCCAAAAGUAAUGAAACAUCUGUAAUUGAACGGAGGAAGUAUAAUUUAUGAAUAGAAAUAUUUAUUUAAUAUAUUAAAAAUUUGGACCAUCCAGGAUUCAAACUCGGGGCUAACAUGCUUAUUCAAGUAAUUGUAGCAUUUUAUGCACAAGUAUAUGCACGAAUUUAUGAUAUACUCAGUAGAAAAAUAUUCAUUUGCUAAGAAAGGCUAUGAAAUGAUUGAUCCAUUAAAAGAAUAAGGGUUUCCAAAUGCGUGUUUAAUUAAUAUCAACUGGUGGUUGUGUUUUUUGAGUUGGGAUGAAAAAUCAAUUUUUACUUGAUUCAAUUAAAACUCCGUUUAAAAUAUCAAUUCAAUUUCACUUUCGUAUGUUUGAAUUGCAAACUCUGUGAUGCCCUCACCGAGAUGCUAGUGAACAACGGGUUGGAAUGAUUUUCUCCAAAAUGCAAGUAGCAACGCAGUCAUCAUCGCCACAUGUUAUCCGUGUAUGCAAAAUUAAAUAAAUAAAAACCCAAAAAAUGCAAAUAUUCGACCAAUAAAUUCAACUGGCAGUAAUUGAAAUAAAAAACAUAUGAAUAGAUAAUAAAAGAAUUUUGAUAAUAAGAAAUCUCAUAAUGUGGAGUAUAAUGCGACGUGGCACGAUGAGAAGAAAUUGGAGGCGGCCUUUUAGACAGUGAUGAGCAGUCGAUCAAAUACAUAAAUAGAAGCUGUGUUGAGGCACACCACAUAAGAUUCGCAAAAACCAUAGCUCUUGAACCACAUCAACACAGGCAAUGCCGCUCGCUAGAAUCACACUCGGAUCUCCGGCCGAAGCCAGCCAACCCGACGCCAUCAAGGCCGCCAUCGCUGAGUUCAUUUCUAUGCUCAUCUUCGUCUUCGCCGGCCAAGGCUCCGGCAUGGCUUUCGGUAAGCUAAAUCCUCACAUGUGUUUGUGUAUGUGUUGGAUAUAUAAUUAAUAAUUAAACAUUUAUCGCAUCCUUCUCUCAACAGCCAAGCUGACGGACGGCGGAGCAGCCACCCCGGCCGGCCUUAUCGCCGCUUCCAUAGCGCACGCCUUCGCCCUCUUCGUGGCUGUCUCCGUUGGCGCCAACAUAUCGGGCGGCCACGUCAACCCCGCCGUCACCUUCGGCGCCUUCAUCGGCGGCCACAUCUCCCUCUUCAGAGGCAUCCUCUACUGGAUCGCCCAAUUGCUCGGAUCCGUAGUUGCAUGCUUGCUGCUCAACUUCGCCACCGGCGGACUGGUGCGCCUCCGAUCCAUUUCUCCUAAUCCUUCAAAUUAAAUUACUGUUAGGUUCAUCUAAUCUGACCAUGCAUGAUCGCAUUCGUGGAUGCAGGAGACAUCGGCGUUCGCGCUUUCAGCCGGCGUGUCGGAGUGGAACGCCGUGAUCUUCGAGAUCGUGAUGACCUUCGGCUUGGUAUACACGGUGUACGCGACGGCGGUGGACCCCAAGAAGGGCGACAUCGGGACCAUCGCCCCCAUCGCCAUCGGUCUCAUUGUGGGCGCCAACAUCCUCGCUGGCGGCGCAUUUGACGGCGCCUCCAUGAACCCGGCCGUGUCCUUCGGCCCGGCUGUGGUGAGCUGGACGUGGAAUAGCCACUGGGUGUACUGGCUUGGCCCCUUGGUGGGCGCCGCCGUCGCCGCCCUUGUCUAUGAGCUCCUCUUCAUCAACCAGAGUGGCCAUGACCAGCUCCCAACCACAGAUUACUAACAAAUUUAUUUUCACCACCUCUGUUGUAUUAUCAUGUAUGCUAUCACCAGCCUUGUUUCUAUGGAAUCCAUGAUUCUCAAGUAUCUCAUUCAAUCAUCAUCUCAUAUUCUCAUUAGAUGCUGAAAUUUGGUUUGCAAAAUCAGUUUGAAUGUCUGAUAAAUUAUUUUGCUAAUAAAUUAGAGCAUAGCUCAAAGAAGCAAUACUACCAACAACUUGUUCAGCUCCAACAAUACCAAAGAAAAAAACACUAUGCCUACAUUUGAGGCAGCAGAUUAGUGACGAUCUAUUCUCAGCUUCGCUUCUUCUUUUCUUGUUUUCCAAGUUUCGAUCGACGCUGCUUGAAUAAGUGGAGGUAAAGUUUCAAUGAUGUUUGAUCUUUUGUUUUCAAUGAUGUAUACUUUUUGUUGGGGUAAUGGGAUAAACUGCUUGUCAUAUCACUUGCCUUGUUUCUGUGGAAUCAAUUCUCGAGUUUGUUUUUCCUUGAUUGUCAGUAUGUCAGUGUUGCAAGUAUUUAUUCGAUCGUCAUUUCAUUAAAUACUGAAUGUGGUUUGCAAAAUCAGGUUGAAUGUCUGAUCAGUUAUUUUGCUAAUAAAUUAGAGCAUAGCUUAAAGAAGCAAUACUACCAACAACUUGUUCAGCUCCAACAACACCAAAGGAAAAACACUUAGCCUACAUUUGAGGCAUCAAAUUAGUGACGAUCUGUUCUCAGCUUCGCUUCUUCUUUUCAAUGAUGUAUACUUUUUAUUGGGAGUAAUGGGAUGAAUUGUUAGUGAUUGUAACUGUGUAAUUGCGCGCUAUUUGGAGAGAGAUUGGAUUCGAGUGAAAUAAAUAUUUUUUAAGAAAAUUGUUUCUUCUUGAUGUUUUACCAGAGGUUUAACUCGUAUUUGAUUUUGCUUCAGAUUAUCACGUGUUAAAUCUACAAUUUAAAAAGAAUGGGGUAUACUAAGUAUACUUCAAGGGAUUUUCUUUAACAUGGUAGUCUGUAAUACUUGAACGUAUUCGCGUAGAGUCCAUGAUUAAAUGUUUUACUAUUUAGAG
rnacentral:lncRNA from 1 species